UAACCUGCCUGGUAGCGGGGGAUAACUAUUGGAAACGAUAGCUAAUACCGCAUAAGAGUAGAUGUUGCAUGACAUUUGCUUAAAAGGUGCAAUUGCAUCACUACCAGAUGGACCUGCGUUGUAUUAGCUAGUUGGUGAGGUAACGGCUCACCAAGGCGACGAUACAUAGCCGACCUGAGAGGGUGAUCGGCCACACUGGGACUGAGGCACGGCCCAG
rnacentral:rRNA from 1 species